CCUACGGGAGGCAGCAGUGGGGAAUAUUGGACAAUGGGCGAAAGCCUGAUCCAGCAAUGCCGCGUGAGUGAUGAAGGCCUUAGGGUUGUAAAGCUCUUUUACCAGGGAUGAUAAUGACAGUACCUGGAGAAUAAGCUCCGGCUAACUCCGUGCCAGCAGCCGCGGUAAUACGGAGGGAGCUAGCGUUGUUCGGAAUUACUGGGCGUAAAGCGUACGUAGGCGGUUAUUCAAGUCAGAGGUGAAAGCCUGGAGCUCAACUCCAGAACUGCCUUUGAAACUAGGUAGCUAGAAUCACGGAGAGGUUAGUGGAAUUCCGAGUGUAGAGGUGAAAUUCGUAGAUAUUCGGAAGAACACCAGUGGCGAAGGCGACUAACUGGACGUGUAUUGACGCUGAGGUACGAAAGCGUGGGGAGCAAACAGGAUUAGAUACCCUGGUAGUCCACGCCGUAAACGAUGAUAACUAGCUGUUCGGUCUCUACGAGACUGAGUGGCGCAGCUAACGCAUUAAGUUAUCCGCCUGGGGAGUACGGUCGCAAGNUUAAAACUCAAAGGAAUUGACGG
rnacentral:rRNA from 1 species